rnacentral:rRNA from 1 species
UACGUAGGGUGCAAGCGUUGCCCGGAUUUAUUGGGCGUAAAGGGCGCGCAGGCGGCUACGCACGUCCGUUGUGAAAUCGCUCGGCUCAACUGGGCGGGGUCAGCGGAUACGGCGUAGCUGGAGCAAGCUAGGGGGCAAUGGAAUUCCCGGUGUAGUGGUGGAAUGCGUAGAUAUCCGGAGGAACACCAGUGGCGAAGGCGACACGCUGGGCCGUACCUGACGCUAAAGCGCGACAGCAUGGGGAGCGAACGGG